CUGCGGAGGGAUCAUUGCUGGAACGCGCCCCGGCGCACCCAGAAACCCUUUGUGAACUUAUACCUUACUGUUGCCUCGGCGCAGGCCGGCCUCUCUUCUGAGGCCCCCCGGAGACGGGGAGCAGCCCGCCGGCGGCCAACCAAACUCUUGUUUCUUAGUGAAUCUCUGAGUAAAAAAACAUAAAUGAAUCAAAACUUUCAACAACGGAUCUCUUGGUUCUGGCAUCGAUGAAGAACGCAGCGAAAUGCGAUAAGUAAUGUGAAUUGCAGAAUUCAGUGAAUCAUCGAAUCUUUGAACGCACAUUGCGCCCUCUGGUAUUCCGGAGGGCAUGCCUGUUCGAGCGUCAUUUCAACCCUCAAGCCUGGCUUGGUGUUGGGGCACUGCUUCGAGAGAAGCAGGCCCUGAAAUCUAGUGGCGAGCUCGCUAGGACCCCGAGCGUAGUAGUUAUAUCUCGUUCUGGAAGGCCCUGGCGGCGCCCUGCCGUUAAACCCCCAACUUCUGAAAUUUUGACCUCGGAUCAGGUAGGAAUACCCGCUGAACUUAAGCAUAUCA
rnacentral:rRNA from 1 species